GGUAAAGUGACAGGGAUACUGGAGUGACGGAGGUAGAUUUGUAUAGGGGUAAGGAGACAGGGAUACUGGAGUGACGGAGGUAGAUAUGUAUAGGGGUAAAGUGACAGGGAUACUGGAGUGACGGAGGUAGAUAUGUAUAGGGGUAAGGUGA